ACUGACUUUGUUGAGAUUUUCUUGAGUCCCUACAUACUGUUAAAACAUCUCCUUGAUGAGAUCCCCUCCUAUAAGGAUUGGACAAUUUGGGUUUUGUGGUCUUUAUGGUGGGCAUCAAGAGUCUGUGGUCUCCUCUUAAACCAGCUGGUGGCGCUAGAGGGAAUUCUCUCAGUUAAAUAUCCACUAUUUUCAGCUGGAUAUCACAAAGAGAUCGAAGAAAGACUAGAAUAUGGAAAAUCAUACAUUUCAUUGGGAGCUGGAAGUUGGCUGGCUGGAGAAAAGGGUCAGAUGGUCCAUCUUCAUCUUCAUUAGUGUGUGUGCAGGUCUACCAGCUCUUGCUUGGUCUCUCAGCGAUUUAAUUCAUCACAGAAAGAAUGGACAGCAGAUUUCAUUCUUCAUCAUCCUCCUCCUCCUCACUGACUUUGUUGAGCUUCUCUUGAGUCCAUACAUCCUGGCAAAACAUCUCCUAGAGGAGUUCUCCUGGUACAUGGAUUGGACAUGUUGGUUUUUUUGGGCUUUAUGGUGGUCGUCAAGAGUCUGUGGUCUCCUCUUAAACCAGCUGGUGGCGCUAGAGGGAAUUCUCUCAGUGAAAUAUCCACUGUAUACUGCUUCUGUUUUCUCUUCUCCGCGUUUCAUAAUUUACUACAUACUUGUGUUUCUCUGGAUCAUUAUCGGACAUAUUUUUUUCUACAAGUAUUAUUUGUUUUUUAUUGUUUUUGUGUUGAUUGCAUCAGUGAUAACAUGGGUAAUAUCUUGUGGAGCUUCAUUUUCUGCUGAUCAUCACUCUUCCAGAAAACCAGAUCAUCAUAUUUUGGUUGUUUUCAUAUUCAGUCUGCUGGUAAUUUAUCUGCCCUUCAUUUUACUCAAUUUCAUUUUCAUAAUCAAUCCAGUAUUAUGUCAGUCUCUUCCUGUUUGGCUUAAUCCUAUCUUCUUGAUGAGUGUGAGAUUGAUUUCAGAUCCUCUCCUGUGUGUGCUGGUCUGCAGGCAGAAUCUCAGAAUUCAAACAUCACAAAACCCUGAAGAGACUAGUUCAGUCUGAGUAGGUCUGGUAAGAUGGGUUGGUUGUGAUGUCAUGAUAUUUGACUAUAAAGCUUAAUCUAUUUAACUGUUUCAACAUAAGGAUAUAUAACCAUAAGGUGUCUGCAUAACACACAUGAAUUAUGCUUGUGACACUAUAUUUUUCAGCGUAGUGAACUUCAUCUGCAGUACUGUAUGGUAAACAUUACAGGCUCUCUUUCAUUUCUCUGCAUAAUAACCAGUCUAACAGGCUGCAUUUAAUAAUACAUGCAGAUAUAAAAUGUACAUACAGUAUAAAACACUGUAUUGUUUUGCAUUUAAUCUUCAUCACUUUUUCAUGUUUCUGGUGUAGUCUUU
ensembl:lncRNA